GACAGAGGGUGCAAACGUUGUUCGGAAUCACUGGGCGUAAAGCGCGUGUAGGCGGCUUCUCAAGUCGGGUGUGAAAUCCCAGGGCUCAACCCUGGAAGUGCAUUCGAAACUGGGUAGCUAGAGUACUGGAGAGGAAGGUGGAAUGCUUGGUGUAGAGGUGAAAUUCGUAGAUAUCAAGCGGAACACCGGUGGCGAAGGCGGCCUUCUGGACAGAUACUGACGCUGAGGUGCGAAAGCGUGGGGAGCAAACAGG
rnacentral:rRNA from 1 species